UCCCUGGAGGACUAGUGGUUAGGCCCCAGCACUCUCAUCGCUGCAGCCUGGGUUUGAUCCCCAGCCAGGGAA
rnacentral:tRNA from 1 species